rnacentral:rRNA from 1 species
UACAGAGGCCCCAAGCGUUACUGAGAAUCACUGGGUUUAAAGGGUGCGUAGGUGGCGCGUUAAGUCCGUUGUGAAAUCCCUGGGCUCAACCCAGGAACUGCGCCCAAAACUGUCGUGCUCGAGGGAGACAGAGGUGAGCGGAACUUAGGGUGGAGCGGUGAAAUGCGUUGAUAUCCUAAGGAACACCGGUGGCGAAAGCGGCUCACUGGGUCUCUUCUGACGCUGAGGCACGAAAGCUAGGGUAGCGAACGGG